rnacentral:sRNA from 1 species
UAGUUGAAUUAAUGUAACCAGAUUUGA